GGCACCAAUGCAUUAGCAGCUGGGUUUGGUCUGUUCAGCUCAUUGACUGUAUAUGAAUCAGAAGAAACUAGUGGGUGGAAUGUGUCGCUUUCUCUUUCCUCUGUCUAUAUACAAAGAGGUAGACGGGGUCAGAGGGACUGACUUCCUGUCCUGGUGACCACUUCCUCUCCAGCGGCCAGUCUCCUGUACAGAUCGCUGAGGUCGUCUGGUCCAGGUGUGUGUGAAUCUGGCGUAGACAGGGUCAGAGGGACUGACUUCCUGUCCUGGUGACCACUUCCUCUCCAGCGGCCAGUCUCCUGUACAGAUCGCUGAGGUCGUCUGGUCCAGG